rnacentral:rRNA from 1 species
AGAGUUUGAUCCUGGCUCAGGACGAACGCUGGCGGCGUGCUUAACACAUGCAAGUCGAACGAAAAGACGGAAAGAGCUUGCUCUUUUCAGAAUUGAGUGGCAAACGGGUGAGUAACACGUAAACAACCUGCCUUCAGGAUGGGGACAACAGACGGAAACGACUGCUAAUACCGAAUAAGUUCCAAGAGCCGCAUGGCCCAUGGAAGAAAAGGUGGCCUCUACCUGUAAGCUAUCGCCUGAAGAGGGGUUUGCGUCUGAUUAGCUGGUUGGAGGGGUAACGGCCCACCAAGGCGACGAUCAGUAGCCGGUCUGAGAGGAUGAACGGCCACACUGGAACUGAGACACGGUCCAGACUCCUACGGGAGGCAGCAGUGGGGAAUCUUCCGCAAUGGGCGAAAGCCUGACGGAGCAACGCCGCGUGAGUGAUGACGGCCUUCGGGUUGUAAAACUCUGUGAUCCGGGACGAAAAGGCAGAGUGCGAAGAACAAACUGCAUUGACGGUACCGGAAAAGCAAGCCACGGCUAACUACGUGCCAGCAGCCGCGGUAAUACGUAGGUGGCAAGCGUUGUCCGGAAUUAUUGGGCGUAAAGCGCGCGCAGGCGGCUUCCCAAGUCCCUCUUAAAAGUGCGGGGCUUAACCCCGUGAUGGGAAGGAAACUGGGAAGCUGGAGUAUCGGAGAGGAAAGUGGAAUUCCUAGUGUAGCGGUGAAAUGCGUAGAGAUUAGGAAGAACACCGGUGGCGAAGGCGACUUUCUGGACGAAAACUGACGCUGAGGCGCGAAAGCGUGGGGAGCAAACAGGAUUAGAUACCCUGGUAGUCCACGCCGUAAACGAUG